rnacentral:rRNA from 1 species
UGAGGAACAUGACCUUCGGCGGGGGAUAGCCGGCCCAACGGCCGGGUAAUACCGCGUACGACCACAUGGGGACAUCCCUGAGUGGUGAAAGCAGAAUGCGCCGAUGGAGUGCCUCGCGGCCUAUCAGCUAGUUGGUGAGGUAACGGCUCACCAAGGCGACGACGGGUAGCUGGUCUGAGAGGAUGGCCAGCCACAUUGGGACUGAGACACCGGCCCAGACUCCGUAGGGACGG